UGACAUGGCAAACUCAAGUCACCUUCGACUUCAGCGGUACCACGCCUUUUUCUUGCCUCGUAGCCCAGGACAGAAAGUUUGCCAGAGACACAUUUCUUUAAAGCCCUGCUCACCAAUUCGGGAGUGGCCCCUUUAAAUGCAAAUGAACCGCCUCCUCGCUCUCGCCCCCCGCCCCCAUCCCAACUUCGCUCCUCGUGCCCAGACUCCGCCAGCUGCCAUUGACGUCACGCGUGCGUCAGCGUCGCCAGCCCAACCAGACGGCACGUGGGGGGAAGAAGGUGGCCUUAAAGGGCCAGCCGCCUUCGGCCGGCAGGGUCGCAGCUGUGAGUUUGGCCUUGGAAAGGAGGAAUGAAAUGAGAGGUGGGGAAAUCUGUUGGAGCGAGAGGACAUGCAGGAUAGACGUUAGGAAGGACAGGAGGAGAUCGCGGGUGACCAAGGGCACAUUGAAAGGCCCACGCAAACCUGGUGGCCGAGUGACGACAGUACUUUGGGGGAGCCUCGCAGAGGUUUGUGGAAGGUCUCUGAGGUGUGUCCCCCUCUCGUGGCGGGGGCAGCAGGGAAGCGAUGUAUGAAGCAAGAGUUAUCAAGAAAGGGCCCGAAAGCUGUCCUCUGCUGGAGGGUAAUCUCUGCACCCGAUGUGGGGCUCAAACUCACGACCCCGAGAUCAAGGGCUGGAGGUUCUUCCGACCGAGCCGGCCAGUAGCCUCAGACAGAGCGUGAGCAGGGGAGGGGCAGAGAGAGAGGGAGACACAGAAUCCGAAGCGGGCUCCAGGCUCUGAGCCGUCAGCGCAGAGCCCGACGCGGGACUUGAACUCACUGACUGCGAGAUCCUGACCUGAGCUGAAGUGGGACACUUAACCGACUGAGCCACCCCGGCGCCCCAGGUGUGCAAUGUAACAAUUCGAUGCAAAUUCCUAUUGAGAAAGGAUCACCAUAGUAGGGUUAGUUAACAUUCCACAACCUCACACCAUCAUCGUGUGCGCACGGGUGUGCGUGGGGAGGACAUUUAGGACCUGCUCUCAGCAACUAUCACGUGUCGCUAACUGUAGUCACCACGCUGUGAGUUACACGCUCAGCACUGGCUCCUCUCCUGACCGGAAGGUUGUGCCCUUUGACUAACAUCCACCAUUUCUACCCCUGCCCCCGAGAACAGCGUGAUUCACUCCUUUAACAAACAUUUAUUGCCUGCUGCGGCCGUACCCGGGACAUCUUGCUGGCGGGUCUGAGUUAGCUUUGAGGGACAUCUCUCUAGGUCCCUCCAUGGCCGGGUCCCGCUCCCCACGUUUACGUGGAAAGAGAAGAGUGGGUCCUGUCGAGGAGAUGGCGUCAGGGUGUAAAAAGACUUCAACGUAUUAGAUAAAAAUCGGGGCACCUGGCUGGCUGUGGAGCGAGCAACUCUCGAUCUCCGGUUGUGAGUUUGAGCCCCACGCCGGGGGCACAGACUACUUUAAAAAAA